ACAACUGUGAUGCAGUGCUCCUACCCAGCCCACGUAGAAAGAAACCCUUCAAACUGUCAUUCAUUUCUGAAUUACACUAAAAUGACGUCGCUCAAUUUAACCGCUAAUUAAUGAACACGACGCGUUGAAAGCUAGCAGUCGCUGGUAGCUAACAGCUAGUCAGUCAUGUUACCAACUGACAGCUUUGGUUGGAGUUGUGAGCACUUUAGCAUCUGAUUUGGCCCCGAAAACAGUUUAAUAUGGGACGACUCGCUCCAAACUUAUUGCUCACUCAGGAAGGAUGGAUUUUGGUUCAUAUGUAACGCUCUCAUCGCCACGUGGUCACAUUAGUUUGUCGAAGGCGAAACGGAUGCCCCUCUUGUCAGGACUGCAGCAGAAGCAUGUUUUAACACACGGAACACGACAAUGUGAUGGAAGGACGUUCAAGGCUGACUCAAGCAUUUAGGCAGGCCUCUUAAUGGACAAGGAAUGACUCGACUAAAGUCAGCAGAUGCCACUGACUCACUAUACUGCUCCAUUGCUCCUCACAGCGUUAUGUAGCCAAAUAAAGAGCUGCAAAUGGUUACCGUCUGACAGCAUCCAUCUGGCCCUUCCGCAUUGCUGCACCAGAGGUGGAAGGCCUCAAGAUGGAACACAUUGUAAUGAUGGAGAGCCUGGCCUUUGGGACGCUCUAUCCAGCGUAUGCGUCAUACAAGGCUGUCAAAACGAAGAAUGUGAAGGAAUAUGUGAAGUGGAUGAUGUACUGGAUAGUAUUUGCCUUGUUCUCUACGGCAGAGACGGCCACAGACUUGUUCCUAUCCUGGUUUCCUUUUUACUUUGAGUUGAAGAUUGCCUUUGUGAUCUGGCUCUUGUCCCCAUACACCAAGGGCUCCAGUGUUCUCUAUCGCAAGUUUGUCCACCCAACCUUGUCCAACAAGGAAAAGGAGAUUGACGAUUAUAUUGCACAGGCCAAAGACAGGAGUUAUGAAACCAUGAUGAGAUUUGGAAAGAGGGGUCUCAACUUGGCUGCUAAUGCUGCAGUAACUGCAGCCACCAAGGGCCAGGGUGUGUUGUCAGACAAGUUGCGCAGUUUUAGCAUGCAGGACCUGACACUCAUCAACACCGAGGAUGAGCUGUCUCUGCACUCUUCAGACGGUCGCAUGAGACGAGACUCUGUGGACGACAUGAGCUCGGGGGCCAGCACGCUUCCCCGGGCCAAGAGCGCCGCUACACGACAGACUCGCUCUAUGGCUCACACGUCCCUUGCAGAUGAGAUAUCAUCCCAACACAGCUCAGACCAAUCAGAUGCAAGAACUGAACACUCUGAUGAGGAUGCAGGAGAAAAGCCCCCCAAGCGGCCCACCACCACCAAGACAACCAAGAAACCUGCUGCAAAGACAGAGAUUGCGCUCAAGUUGUUGGUGUCUGCUGUCUCCUGUUUGUGGCACCAAAGGGGACAGAUGGAGAAAUCCCUUUCUCAUCGCCCACUCCUGCUUCAGCUUUCAUCUCCUGGGGGGACUUUCAUCUCCCUCAGCACAGAGUGCAGUGGCACAAACAACAGUAAUGUGGUGAGAGUGGAAGACCAAACUAAUGAACGAAAGAGUGGAGCACAGUUUGAACUGAGACCGAAGGCAUCAAGCGGAGGCUUUCGAGGUGAGCUUUCACUCCACGAGGUAAUUUUGUUAUGUUUGAGCCACUGUUUGAUUGCGUAUAUGACAGAUGUAUAGGUUUUUAAAAGUACAGUUACUGGGAGCGUGUGGAUGCCUCUUCGGUGACUUUUCAGAUGUAUUGUUGAGUAUAUGUCCAUUAAAAUUAACCAUUUUCUUUCCGUCCUCACAAUGCCAUACAAUCCUUUCCAUAGAAAAUCACCGCAAAAAGCACAUGUAUGAAAUUAUUUGAGAAAGCUAUAUAUCACUAAAAUUAUUGUUAGAUUUAGUGUUGUAAACAAAACAUGGCAUCUCAAUUGUUUUUUAAAACAUUCUUGUAUGAAUUUCAAAUUUUUGUUCACAAAAAUGUUUGCAAAUUUGAGUUGUACUUAUUUAUUUUAUCUAAAAACCUUGAUCUGCAAUAGGUGAACUGAGAUAGCGCGAGGGAUUACUGUACAUGCAAGUAUUUAGAGUUGCCCGCCUUCAGUGUCGUACCACAUCGUAACAUGCUACGCAGCACUAAUGUCUACUGGAAGAGAUGGACUGUAACUAAGAGCAAGAAGAAGAAACAGAGAAGGUCCCCAAACCUCAAGCUCCAGUAAUAGUCGUUCAAACUGAGCAGAGGAAGAACUGUAUAUGCCUGUGAGUAUUGGUGCACGCUCUUUUUGCAUGUGUUGGUUUAUAAAUACUGGAACGUCCGUGCUGUUUUUUCUGUUAGCUGUCUCUGGCAUUUCGCAUUACUUUGAUUUACAAGUUUAAUUUAUUCCGUGACCACGCUCAUAACUCAAACCACCUGUAUCUCAAAUCAUAUUUCACCACUGAAAUGAACAGAAGUGCCAUUAAUCUGUUCCAGUCCUCUUGCUCCAUCUGGUGUGUGCGCCUUGGCCACCAAGGGGAAGAUUAAUACGGGCAUAGAGAUACACAAGGAGAAGAGUUUUACAACUGACUCAGGAAGCUGCAAUAAUAGUAAUAUUAUUACAAUUUACAUACAUACAGCACCUUCAAAGAGGCCCCCCUCCAAAUAUAAUUAGUCAGGGGGUAUGAACGGAGUUUUGUGUUCAAAUAGCAGUUCCUUAGAUGGUUUUAACACCAUGAAUAUCUAUUCAAAGCCUGUCUGUGGCAUUAUACAUAGCGUGUUAGCAUUAAGUAAGCAGAAAUUCCUAAGGUAAAGUUAUGCAGUUAUUUUAAAUAUGAAUUAUUAUUAAUAUUAUUAAUAAUUCUGUUUAGUUUGACAGUAAACUCCAACUGGUCGUGGCAGUAAACAACUUGAAGCUUUGUUUUUAAAGAAUUGUUCACUAUCUGCCAAUCUGCUGAAGUAAAUUGAAUUUGCUGCACUAUCUAGUGCUCUUACUUUGUCUCAAAUUUUUGCUUGUAAGUCAAAACCAAAAAAGCAGUUGAGUGACAGCUUGCAGUGUUGAGAAUUUUUUCUCAGCGAACUAGUUCAAAGUUCAAUUCACCGUUCCAAAAAUUAACCACUUCAGUUCGUAGUUCAUAAUUCAAAUUUUUUAAUUAAGUUCACCAUUCCAAAAAUGAACUAGUUCAUAGUUCUUUUUUGUUUUUUCUCUCAAUAUGUUGCUGCUGCUUGUCCCCUUAAAACACUGGCAUUUCAUUUACCCAUUGUUGCCUCCUAUUCAGAAUUGUGAGUAGCCAAUUCAAGAUCAACGAAUCCAUGGUUCGCAAGUGGAGGAAGCAGGAAAACGCCGGCAUCAUUGCUGAACAGCCCCCCCCCCGGCAACGAGACUGACUCCGACAAUGACGAGAGGGAACCCAGCAUGUUUGAUGGAGAACUUGCCCAGCUGUUCAUUUCGGAUACAGAAGAUGAGGACUUUGAUGGAUUUGUGGAUGAGGAUUGAUCAACAAAUAACACAAUGGAGCGGAGUUGUGGUGCGGCAGACACAACCUGGAGCUGAGCACGCUCAAGACUGUAGAGAUGAUUUUGGACUUCAGGAGGCAUCCUUCGCCACAGCUGCCCCUCACGCUGUCCAACUGCCCUGUGCCAACUGUUGAGAUCUUCAAGGUCCUGGGAAUUUCAGUCUCUCACGACCUGAAGUGGGAGAUCAACAUCAACUCCAUCCUCAAUAAGGCCCAGAAGAGGACGUACUUCCUUUAAAAAAAAAAAAAAAAAAAAAAAAAAAAAACAGAACUAGUGUGGCAGAGACAGCGAGCGAACGAGACGUGUCUGAUACUUUUGUCUUGAUUACACUUCAUAUAAGCAUAUAAUAUCGUUACAGUUUCUUCUAUUAUGUUUUUUUGGGACUAUAUUUUACCAUUUAUUGCUGCCUGCACUAAAAAACGUUUAAAAAAAUUCGGGAACGGAUAAUUGCAUUUCCAUUCAUUUUAAUGAGGAAAUGUUUUGAGAUACGAGUGUUCGAGAUAAGAGCACGGUGAUGAAGCGAAUUAAACUCGUAUCUCAAGGCACCACUGUAUUUAUUUUUAUAAGGCAUAAUAUGGCAGAUAGGGAGGGAGCGCUUCCGAACUGGGAUAUCUGCUGCCGUCAGCCACUAGGUGGCAUAUUUACACAAUAUCUGGGGAUUUCUGUGAUUAUAUUGCACGCAGUAAGACCAUUUCUUCAUUUCGAUUCUUAAAGGAAUUUGAUACACACUGAGAUCUUCACUUGCUGUUUUAAACCAACAAUACAGAGGUAAAAAAAAGAACCAUAUUACGACUUUUUAGCCUUACCGACGUCCCCUGGCCUUCGCUGGGCACUCACAGUUACUCAGUGCAGGACUCUGGUCCAUUAGGCAGCAUCUCACUCCAAGCGUGACCGAUUCUUCUUCUCUCACACACUCGCUGCUCUCUGGCGAAGUCAGCGGACAGACGAGCCGAGGAAUUAUUUCCUUACGCUUCUGUCGUUUAAAUCAGGUUGGAUGAGUGUCACUGCCCGACACCCCUAACCCCCCCCAACCCUGAAAUCUGAUUCUGUCCACUCAUGCCCUUAUCGUCUCAAUUGUCCUCUGGCUCCAAAUCUUCCCCCAAACCGUGUCACUAUGCUUUCAUCGUACUUUUCUUAUGAUUGAAUUAAGCCCUCUGGUGUGGCUCACCGUUAGACUCUCGAUCUCCCCUCAGUGAUGCUCAGGCCACUCUCUCAGCUAUUACACUCGGUGCUCACUCGCCCCGUCAGCCUGGAUCACAAUAGAAAAAGACAAUCUCCUUCCUCAUGGCAACAUACAUAAUAUGUGUGUUUGUACUGUGAUGGAGCGACAUUUGGCUCCUGGGGCUUUUUCGCUAUUAUCUGAGAUGCUGAUUGGCCUUAAGUUUGUUGGGAUUUGUUGAGAGAAUUCUUCCCAUAGGAAAUAAUGUAAAUAGUAAUAAUUGGUUCCAAAUGUAUUUAACAACUGUGCAGGAAAUGGGUUAACCCUCCUCUUACCUUCAAGGCGUUGUCACACCUCACUUGUGCAACUGUGAAAACGCCACAGGGCAGCGCGCAAGGAUGACAGCACCCCUGUGCAUCCUUGGCCAUAUUUGGAAGUGCUGACGAAGCAGCCUACCAGGAAGUAACAGGGAGGCUUUUCCCGCUAAUAGACGAGAAGUAGACCACACCUCGGCAAUAUGUACCGUAUUUUCACAUCUAAAAGGCGCACUUAAAGUCUUACAUUUUCUCCAAAAUGGACGGGGCACCUGAUAAUGCGGUGCGCCUUAUGUGUGACUUUGAUGAGCGCUCCGCUUGACUGACUGGGAGCAUUUCUUGCCGACAUGCUGCUUAUAUAGAGGAAAGGCGAACGUGACUGAGGACAGCAUGCGGACGUAAAGGGGGAAGGGUGCGCGUCAAGGAGGACGCUAAAGGCACGCCCCCAGUUGGUAUAUAGCGCCGGGGUGGGCAUUGUGCAAAACAAUAUCAGUUUGGCUAAGGACCCCCGAAAAUGGCACCUAUGAAGAGACGCACUUACGAAGCACAGUUUAAACUGCAAGCUAUCAGUUACGCGGAGGAACAUUGGAAUCGAGCAGCCGCAUGAGAAUUCAAGAUCAACGAAUCCAGGGUUCGCAAGUGGAGGAAGCAGGAAAACGAGCUUCGCCAAGUCAAGAAGACGAAGCGCUGGGCAUAUGUGAAUGGAUUGUGGAUGCCUGGGCUAAGGUAUCUGCUUUGACUGUUGUCCGAGCUUUCGCGAAAGCUGAACAGCCCCCCGGCAACGAGACUGACUCCGACAAUGACGAGAGGAAACCCGGCGUGUUUGAUGGAGAACUUGCCCAGCUGUUCAUUUCGGAUACAGAAGAUGAGGACUUUGAUGGAUUUGUGGAUGAGGAUUGAUCAAAAAUAACGUGAGCACAUUGUUAAAUACUUGAAUAAAGUACAACCGAACUCAGUUUUGUUCCCGCUGCCUUUUUAAAAACAUAUGCUACCGUAUGUUUUACCAUGCCUGCGCCCAAUAAUACGGUCCGGUGCGCCUUAUGUAUGUGUUAAAUACAGAAAUAGACCCCGUAACUGAGACUGCGCCUUUUAAUAUGGUGCACCUUAUGGUCGUGAAAAUACGGUAUAUUUAACUCAGGUGCUGUACAUUUCUUCUGAUGAUCCUUGAGAUGGUACUAAACCAAAAUCUCUGCUGGAUUUAAGGUUCCUAAAAGCACAGUGGCCUCCAUAAUCCUGAAAUGGUAGACAUUUGGGACGACCGGAACCCUUCCUAGAGCUGGCCAUCCGGCCAAACUGAGCAAUCCCCACUGUAAAUGAUGUGAGGCUGUGGAUUCUCACUGCAGAUGCAAUUGCGUAGAAUACCUUUCUAUUAACAAAAAAAAUAAUAAUCCAGGUUGAUACAUCAAAAACUUUAUAAAAAAAACCCCAAAACAAAUAAACCCACGCUGAAAACAUAGGUAGAGGUAAUUAUUCUCUUCAUUUCCUUCCAAGAAGUUUGUGCUUUUUGAAACAUGAAAGUUCCAAAACACAAAAUAAACUCAAUAAAAAAUAAAAUCUC